rnacentral:rRNA from 1 species
AUUGAACGCUGGCGGCAUGCCUUACACAUGCAAGUCGAACGGCAGCACGGGAGCAAUCCUGGUGGCGAGUGGCGAACGGGUGAGUAAUACAUCGGAACGUGCCCAGUAGUGGGGGAUAACCCGGCGAAAGCCGGACUAAUACCGCAUACGACCUACGGGUGAAAGCGGGGGAUCGCAAGACCUCGCGCUAUCGGAGCGGCCGAUGUCAGAUUAGCUAGUUGGUGGGGUAAAGGCCUACCAAGGCGACGAUCUGUAGCUGGUCUGAGAGGACGACCAGCCACACUGGGACUGAGACACGGCCCAGACUCCUACGGGAGGCAGCAGUGGGGAAUUUUGGACAAUGGGCGCAAGCCUGAUCCAGUCAUGCCGCGUGCGGGAAGAAGGCCUUCGGGUUGUAAACCGCUUUUGUCAGGGAAGAAACGCUCCGGGCUAAUACCACGGAGUAAUGACGGUACCUGAAGAAUAAGCACCGGCUAACUACGUG